rnacentral:rRNA from 1 species
GGGCCCGCACAAGCGGUGGAGCAUGUGGUUCAAUUCGAAGCAACGCGCAGAACCUUACCAGCCCUUGACAUGCCACGACGGUUUCCAGAGAUGGAUUCCUCCCCGCAAGGGGCGUGGACACAGGUGCUGCAUGGCUGUCGUCAGCUCGUGUCGUGAGAUGUUGGGUUAAGUCCCGCAACGAGCGCAACCCUCGCCCUUAGUUGCCAUCAUUUAGUUGGGCACUCUAAGGGGACUGCCGGUGAUAAGCCGCGAGGAAGGUGGGGAUGACGUCAAGUCCUCAUGGCCCUUACGGGCUGGGCUACACACGUGCUACAAUGGCGGUGACAGUGGGAUGCAAUGGAGCAAUCCUGCGCAAAUCUCAAAAAGCCGUCUCAGUUCGGAUUGUGCUCUGCAACUCGAGCACAUGAAGGUGGAAUCGCUAGUAAUCGCAGAUCAGCACGCUGCGGUGAAUACGUUCCCGGGCCUU